GGGUAACCUGCCUGUAAGACUGGGAAUAACUCCGGGAAACCGGGGCUAAUACCGGAUAAUUUAGUUCCUCGCAUGAGGAACUGUUGAAAGGUGGCUUCGGCUACCACUUACAGAUGGACCCGCGGCGCAUUAGCUAGUUGGUGAGGUAACGGCUCACCAAGGCAACGAUGCGUAGCCGACCUGAGAGGGUGAUCGGCCACACUGGGACUGAGACACGGCCCAGACUCCUACGGGAGGCAGCAGUAGGGAAUCUUCCGCAAUGGACGAAAGUCUGACGGAGCAACGCCGCGUGAGUGAAGAAGGUUUUCGGAUCGUAAAACUCUGUUGUUAGGGAAGAACAAGUGCCGUUCGAAUAGGGCGGCACUUGACGGUAC
rnacentral:rRNA from 1 species